GACGAACGCUGGCGGCGUGCUUAACACAUGCAAGUCGAACGGAAAGGCCCUGCUCUUGUGGCUUGCUCGAGUGCCGAACGCGUGAGUAACACGUGAGUAACCUGCCCUUGACUUUGGGAUAACUUCAGGAAACUGGGGCUAAUACCGCAUAGGAGCUCCUGCUGCACGGUGGGGGUUGGUAAGUUUCGGCGGUUGGGGCUCGACUCGCGGCUUAUCAGCUUGUUGGUGGGGUAGUGGCUUACCAAGGCUUUGACGGGUAGCCGGCCUGAGAGGGUUACCGGCCACAUGGGGACUGAGGUACGGCCCAGACGCGUACGGGAGGCAGCAGUGGAGAAUAUUGCACAAUGGGCGGAAGCCUGAUGCAGCAGCGCCGCGUGCGGGAUGACGGCCUUCGGGUUGUAAACCGCUUUCGCAUGUGACGAAGCGUGAGUGACGGUAAUGGAUAAAGAAGCACCGGCUAACUACGUG
rnacentral:rRNA from 1 species